rnacentral:rRNA from 1 species
AUUGAACGCUGGCGGCAUUCCUUACACAUGCAAGUCGAACGGCAGCACGGGAGCAAUCCUGGUGGCGAGUGGCGAACGGGUGAGUAAUACAUCGGAACGUGCCCAGUAGUGGGGGAUAGCCCGGCGAAAGCCGGAUUAAUACCGCAUGCGACCUACGGGUGAAAGCGGGGGAUCGCGAGACCUCGCGCUAUCGGAGCGGC